rnacentral:rRNA from 1 species
CGCAAGCCUGAUGCAGCAACGCCGCGUGAGGGACGACGGCCUUCGGGUUGUAAACCUCUUUUAGCAGGGAAGAAGCGUGAGUGACGGUACCUGCAGAAAAAGCACCGGCUAACUACGUGCCAGCAGCCGCGGUAAUACGUAGGGUGUAAGCGUUAUCCGGAAUUAUUGGGCGUAAAGAGCUCGUAGGCGGUUUGUUGCGUCUGCUGUGAAAACCCGAGGCUCAACCUCGGGCCUGCAGUGGGUACGGGCAGACUAGAGUGCGGUAGGGGAGAUUGGAAUUCCUGGUGUAGCGGUGGAAUGCGCAGAUAUCAGGAGGAACACCGAUGGCGAAGGCAGAUCUCUGGGCCGUAACUGACGCUGAGGAGCGAAAGGGUGGGGAGCAAACAGGCUUAGAUACCCUGGUAGUCCACCCCGUAAACGUUGGGAACUAGUUGUGGGGUCCAUUCCACGGAUUCCGUGACGCAGCUAACGCAUUAAGUUCCCCGCCUGGGGAGUACGGCCGCAAGGCUA